rnacentral:tRNA from 1 species
UGCCGAGGGAUGGGAAUCGAACCCACAGUGUUCCGCUUACCGGGCAGAUGCCAUGUCCACUAGGCUACCCUGGA